CUUGUACUCCCACCAUCCGAAAAUACUUGUCAUUGAAAUGGAUGUAUCUAGAUGUAUUUUAGUUCUAGACACAUCCAUUUUGAUGACAAGUAAUUCCGAACGGAGGGAGUACUUG
rnacentral:pre_miRNA from 1 species